rnacentral:rRNA from 1 species
GACGAACGCUGGCGGCGUGCUUAACACAUGCAAGUCGAACGGAAAGGCAAUGCUUUUGUGGGUCGCCAGAAUGGCGAACGGGUGUGUAACACGAGAGUAACCUGCCCUUGACUUAGGGUACCCUUCACGAAGGUGGGGCUUCGACCGAACAGGAUCUCUUGCAGAUUGGAGUGCGAUGGAAAGUUUCGGCGGUUGGGGAUGGACUCGCGGCAUAUCUGCUUUCUGGUGGGGUUGUGGAGUACCAAGGCUUUGACGGGUAGCCGGCCUGAGAGGGUGACCGGCCACAUUGGGACUGAGAUACGGCCCAGACUCCUACGGGAGGCAACGGUGGAGAGGGUAACAUAACAGACUGAAGCCUGAUGCAACAACGCCGCGUGCGGUAAGACAGGAUUCGAGUUGUAAACCGAUUUCGCCUGUGACGAGGAGUGAGUGACGGUAAUGUAUAAGAAAGCUCCGGCUAACUACGUG